GGGUCGUUCUUUCUAUGCCAGGCGUGAACUUAGCCUUAGUAGAGCUUAAUUUGACUAUAUUUGCAUUAUAUUGACAGCCUUAAUGUCCUCAGGUUAUACACCAUCUAGUGAUACGGGUAUCUGCUAUCAACAUUUAAAAGUGCGAUUAACGAAAGGAAAACGUUUUUUACGUAUGUAAAAAAAAAGAGGACUUAAAAGACUUUAGAACACCGAGACGAAAAGCAACUACUGUACAGAAAUGAAGCCUAUUAUUGCGGCAGUGUUGUUGGUUCUCCUUUUUGCAACCCAUGAGGAAACCAUUGCAGAAUGUCGUUGUCCUAAACCGCCAUUUUUUGGCAUUUGUUGGGAGCUCUGCACUGGGCAUGAUAAUUGCACUGGGAUACAAAUGUGCUGCUCAAAUGGAUGUGGCCACGUGUGCAAGGAUCCCAUCGAUUGUUAAGGAAUGGGGAAGUGACACGAGUGAAGACGCUGACACAGUUAGAAAUGAUGUUGUCUUAACUAUUUCUACAUCAUGGCGGCACUUAUUUCGAUUUCAUGACGUCACAUGCGAAAGGGAAAUUGUGUUGAAUCAAAGGGGUUAAGUCAAUAGCUACUUGAAAGGAAGACCACCGACAUCAUUUUGUCAAAACUGAAGUAGAUUGAUUAAUGUAAAUCAUAUGUAUUGCAUAUUCUAUGCUUAAAACUUUGAAGCCUAUUAAUGGUGAAACAAAUCGAAACUUGUGAUUUAUUGCAUCGGCCUAUGACUGCGAUAGCAGGUAACGAAAUUGUUUGGACAAAACUUAUUUUAUCAUUUGAUCUUGAAAACAGCAUUUUCAUUAAAUUGUUAAAGCAAUGACGACAUUACAAUUUUUUUAAAGAGAAGUCACGCCAUCAAAUUACUGGACUGGCUACGCAACAAGAUUCGAUGAAAAUAUUCUGUAAAAUGGCUGAAUGCAACACCGUACCGUUUUCAUUUAAUACAGGUAUAUGUACUUCCAAUAUUUCAAUUCUAUCUUUUAUAUCUACCUUUUAUAUUGUGAACAAGAGGAAGCAGAGAAGUGAUAAAUAAAUAUGGGCUUUAUGGUUAAACAAUA